UAGGGAAUCUUCGGCAAUGGACGAAAGUCUGACCGAGCAACGCCGCGUNAGUGAAGAAGGUUUUCGGAUCGUAAAACUCUGUUGGUAGAGAAGAACGUUGGUGAGAGUGGAAAGCUCAUCAAGUGACGGUAACUACCCAGAAAGGGACGGCUAACUACGUGCCAA
rnacentral:rRNA from 1 species